rnacentral:rRNA from 1 species
CUUCGGCCCUAGUGGCGCACGGGUGAGUAACGCGUGGGAACCUGCCCUGUGGUACGGGAUAACUCCGGGAAACUGGAGUUGAUACCGUAUGUGUCCUUUGGGACAAAGAUUUAUCGCCAUGGGAUGGGCCCGCGUAGGAUUAGCUUGUUGGUGGGGUAACGGCCUACCAAGGCAACGAUCCUUAGCUGGUCUGAGAGGAUGAUCAGCCACACUGGGACUGAGACACGGCCCAGACUCCUACGGGAGGCAGCAGUGGGGAAUAUUGGACAAUGGGCGCAAGCCUGAUCCAGCAAUGCCGCGUGAGUGAUGAAGGCCUUCGGGUUGUAAAGCUCUUUCGCACGCGACGAUGAUGACGGUAGCGUGAGAAGAAGCCCCGGCUAACUUCGUGCCAGCAGCCGCGGUAAUACGAAGGGGGCUAGCGUUGUUCGGAAUUACUGGGCGUAAAGGGCGCGUAGGCGGUACUUCAAGUCAGGCGUGAAGGCCCCGGGCUCAACCUGGGAACCGCGCUUGAGACUGGAGAACUAGAGUUCGGGAGAGGAUGGUGGAAUUCCCAGUGUAGAGGUGAAAUUCGUAGAUAUUGGGAAGAACACCGAUGGCGAAGGCAGCCAUCUGGACC